CACGUAGGGUCCGAGCGUUGUCCGGAAUUACUGGGCGUAAAGAGCUCGUAGGUGGUUUGUCGCGUUGUUCGUGAAAACUCACAGCUCAACUGUGGGCGUGCGGGCGAUACGGGCAGACUGGAGUACUGCAGGGGAGACUGGAAUUCCUGGUGUAGCGGUGGAAUGCGCAGAUAUCAGGAGGAACACCGGUGGCGAAGGCGGGUCUCUGGGCAGUAACUGACGCUGGAGGAGCGAAAGCGUGGGGAGCGAACAGG
rnacentral:rRNA from 1 species